UGUGAUAGAGGGUUUUUCCCAGGGCC
rnacentral:piRNA from 1 species